rnacentral:rRNA from 1 species
GACGAACGCUGGCGGCGUGCCUAAUACAUGCAAGUCGAACGGUCUUUUCUAUGGAAGCUUGCUUCCACUGAGAAGAUAGUGGCGAACGGGUGAGUAACACGUGGGUAACCUGCCCAUAAGAGGGGGAUAACAUCCGGAAACGGGUGCUAAUACCGCAUAGUUUUUCUGAUCGCAUGAUCGGGAAAGGAAAGACGGCCUUUGUGCUGUCGCUUAUGGAUGGACCCGCGGCGUAUUAGUUAGUUGGUGAGGUAACGGCUCACCAAGACGAUGAUACGUAGCCGACCUGCGAGGGUGAUCGGCCACAUUGGGACUGAGACACGGCUCAACCUCCUACGGGAGGCAGCAGUAGGGAAUCUUCCGCAAUGGACGAAAGUCUGACGGAGCAACGCCGCGUGAGUGAAGAAGGUUUUCGGAUCGUAAAACUCUGUUGUCAGAGAAGAACAAGUCGGAGAGUAACUGCUCCGGCCUUGACGGUAUCUGACCAGAAAGCCACGGCUAACUACGUGCCAGCCGCCGCAGUAAAAC